GAUGAACGCUGGCGGCGUGCCUAAUACAUGCAAGUCGAGCGAACAGACGAGGAGCUUGCUCCUCUGACGUUAGCGGCGGACGGGUGAGUAUCACGUGGAUAACCUACCUAUAAGACUGGGAUAACUUCGGGAAACCGGAGCUAAUACCGGAUAAUAUAUUGAACCGCAUGGUUCAAUAGUGAAAGACGGUUUUGCUGUCACUUAUAGAUGGAUCCGCGCCGCAUUAGCUAGUUGGCAAGGUAACGGCUUACCAAGGCAACGAUGCGUAGCCGACCUGAGAGGGUGAUCGGCCACACUGGAACUGAGACACGGUCCAGACUCCUACGGGAGGCAGCAGUAGGGAAUCUUCCGCAAUGGGCGAAAGCUUGACGGAGCAACGCCGCGUGAGUGAUGAAGGUCUUCGGAUCGUAAAACUCUGUUAUUAGGGAAGAACAAAUGUGUAAGUAACUAUGCACGUCUUGACGGUACCUAAUCAGAAAGCCACGGCUAACUACGUG
rnacentral:rRNA from 1 species